UACAGAGGUCUCAAGCGUUGUUCGGAUUCAUUGGGCGUAAAGGGUGUGUAGGUGGCGCCGUAAGUCGGGUGUGAAAUUUCGGAGCUUAACUCCGAAACUGCAUUCGAUACUGCGGUGCUUGAGGACUGGAGAGGAGACUGGAAUUCAUGGUGUAGCAGUGAAAUGCGUAGAGAUCAUGAGGAAGACCAGUGGCGAAGGCGGGUCUCUGGACAGUUCCUGACGCUGAGACGCGAAAGCGUGGGGAGCGAACAGG
rnacentral:rRNA from 1 species